AACGAACGCUGGCGGCAUGCCUAACACAUGCAAGUCGAACGAGACCUUCGGGUCUCGUGGCGCACGGGUGCGUAACGCGUGGGAACCUGCCCUUAGGUUCGGAAUAACUCCCCGAAAGGGGUGCUAAUACCGGAUAAUGUCUUCGGACCAAAGUUUUAUCGCCUUUGGAUGGGCCCGCGUUGGAUUAGCUAGUUGGUAGGGUAAAAGCCUACCAAGGCGACGAUCCAUAGCUGGUCUGAGAGGAUGAUCAGCCACCCUGGGACUGAGACACGGCCCAAACUCCUACGGGAGGAAGAAAGGGGGAAUCAUGGACAAUGGGCGAAAGCCGGAGCCAGCAAUGCCGCGUGGGUGAUGAAGGCCUUAGGGUUGUAAAGCUCUUUUACCCGGGAUGAUAAUGACAGUACCGGGAGAAUAAGCGCCGGCUAACUCCGUG
rnacentral:rRNA from 1 species